rnacentral:rRNA from 1 species
AUUGAACGCUGGCGGCAUGCCUUACACAUGCAAGUCGAACGGUAACAGGUCUUCGGAUGCUGACGAGUGGCGAACGGGUGAGUAAUACAUCGGAACGUGCCUAGUAGUGGGGGAUAACUACUCGAAAGAGUGGCUAAUACCGCAUGAGAUCUACGGAUGAAAGCAGGGGAUCGCAAGACCUUGUGCUACUAGAGCGGCCGAUGGCAGAUUAGGUAGUUGGUGGGAUAAAAGCUUACCAAGCCGACGAUCUGUAGCUGGUCUAAGAGGACGAUCAGCCACACUGGGACUGAGAAACGGCCCAGACUCCUACGGGAGGCAGCAGUGGGGAAAUUUGGACAAUGGGCGAAAGCCUGAUCCAGCAAUGCCGCGUGCAGGAUGAAGGCCUUCGGGUUGUAAACUGCUUUUGUACGGAACGAAAAGCCCCGGGUUAAUACCCUGGGGUCAUGACGGUACCGUAAGAAUAAGCACCGGCUAACUACGUGCCAGCAGCCGCCGUAA